CUUUGGGCGGGGGUAACUGUGGGGAAGGAGUCACUGCCAGGAGAUGUGGAAAGGGGGCCCCAGAGCGUUACCUUGAAACCUGAUCCCCCGGGAUGUGGCGGAAGGGAAACAAGGUAGCUGAAAAGUGGGCGGCCGGCAGCAGCCUGCUGUUUAUAAGGGGCAGGGGGAAGCGGGCACGGAGGUUUAGGCAGAGCAGCGUCUGGGACACACCACAGCGGGGAGUCUGCCUGGGGCAGGGAGCGGAGGCAGGUGCGGGCGCUCCGCAGUCACAGCCGGGCUGGGAGCAGCGCAGGGAGCAGCGGGCAGAUUUGACCCAAAGUGAUUUACUUCUGCAAGUCUAAGAACCAUGCAACAGAAUAACACCAUGAAGGAUGAUUUCAUAAAUUACACAGAAAAGGAACCACCUAAUCCUAGCAAGUUUUUUGAAUCUGCAAGUAAUGGCUAUGACAAUCCUGCUUUCCAACAUGAUGAAAAACCUGAGAAAAAUUACGAGUUACAGAAGAACAAGAAAAAAAAGAAAAAUGAGGAGUCAAAGGAAAAGAUGGUUGGCAUUUUGAAAUUGUUUGUGUAUGCCGAUUGGCUGGAUAUCAUUUUGAUGAUAAUAGGCUUGAUUGCAGCUGUUGCAAAUGGAACAGGGCUGCCACUUACUAUCAUUGUCAUUGGAGAGAUGACAAACAGAUUUGUGAUGAUUGGCCAAGCAGGAAAUAUGUCUUCAGUUAAUCUUUCAGCUGUGAUGAAUAGUAGCUCUACUUGUCCAGCAAUGCCAGGUUUGGAUAUAGAAGCUGAAAUGACCAGGUUUGCCUACUACUAUGCGGGUAUUGGCUUUGCUGUAGUGAUACUGAGCACCAUCCAAGUCUGGACAUUUUUGACCUCAGCUGCAAGACAGACAGCAAGAAUCCAACAAAAGUUUUUUUUCGCCAUACUUCACCAGGAGAUGGCUUGGUUUGAUACCAGCCAGAUUGGAACAUUGAACACCCGACUGACGGAUGACAUUAACACCAUCCACGAAGGCAUCGGAGACAAGUUCUGUAUAUCUGUACAAUUCUUUGCCACGUUUCUCACAGGGAUUGUUAUAGGAUUCAUCUACGGGUGGAAAAUGACUUUGGUGAUGUUGUCAGUUAGCCCUCUCCUUACUGCAACAGCAGCAAUUGGAUCAAUCUUCCUGUCAUCAUUCACUACAAAAGAGCUGACUGCUUAUGCUAGAGCAGGAGCUGUGGCGGAAGAAAUUUUGACUUCUAUCAGAACAGUCAUUGCUUUCAAUGGACAGAUGAAGGCAUCAGCAAAAUAUGAUGUUAACCUGGAGAAUGCUAGGAAAGCUGGGGUCAAAAAAUCCAUUACCACCUACACAUCUUUUGGUUUCACAGAGUUUAUUUUCUUUGGAGCCUUUGCUCUUGCAUUUUGGUAUGGAACCAAACUCACAGUGGAGGAGAAAGAGAAUUAUGACAUUGGACGUGUGCUAAUUGUAUUACUCUCUGUGGUCCGUAGCACAUUCUUUCUCGGACAGGGCUCCCUACACUUGGAGAGUGUUGCCAAUGCUCGAGGUGCUGCCUAUGAGGUGUACAAGGUCAUCAGUAAGCACCGUCUUCUAGAUAGCAGUUCCAAGGAAGGAUACAGACCAGACAAGCUCAAAGGAGAGAUUGAAUUCAAAAACAUCCAUUUCAGUUACCCAUCUAGACCUGAUGUUAAAAUUCUCAAGGGCCUGAACCUGAAAGUUCAAUCGGGGAAGACCAUCGCUCUGGUUGGCUCCAGUGGCUGUGGCAAAAGUACUGCUAUUCAGCUGCUACAGAGAUUCUAUGAUCCAGUCCAAGGAGAGAUUACCUUAGAUGGACAAGAUAUUCGGACACUUAAUAUAAAGUGGCUAAGAGAACGUAUUGGCCUUGUAAGCCAGGAGCCUAUUUUGUUUGCUACAACAAUAGCUGAGAACAUUCGCUGUGGCAGAGAGGAUAUUACUGAUUCUGAAAUUGAGAAAGCAGCUAAAGAAGCCAAUGCUUUUGAUUUUAUAUCCAGACUGCCUGAUAAAUUUAACACCAUGGUGGGGGAAAGGGGAGCUCAGCUGAGUGGAGGGCAGAAACAGCGAAUUGCUAUUGCCCGUGCCCUGGCAAGGAAUCCCAGGAUUCUGCUGCUGGAUGAAGCCACGUCUGCUCUGGACACUCAGAGUGAAUCUGUUGUGCAAGCAGCUCUUGAUAAGGCUAGGGCUGGACGUACCACCAUUGUGAUAGCUCACCGGCUCUCCACAGUCCGAACAGCUGACAUUAUCGCUGGAUUUCACAACGGUGUUGUUGUUGAACAGGGAACACACAGUCAACUCAUGACACAGAAGGGUGUCUACUAUUCUCUUGUGAUGCAGCAGGAUCAUGGUGGAAACACUCAAAAUGAGAUAUCAGAAAAUGAUGAAAAGACAGAAGAUGAAGACUAUGGGGAAGAGGAGCUAGAGGAUCUCAGGAUGGAGAACCUGACUGAUCUUGGUGGUUUUGAAGAACCAGGAAUCAUUGAGAUGGGAAGCAUUCCUAAGAGAUCCAGAAGGCAUAAAAGCAGAAAGACCUCUUCUAAGAAAAAGUCAUCUGAAAAGAAGAAAACAAAGGAGAAAGAGGAGGAAAAUCUCCCUGCUGUGCCUUAUUCCAGAAUCCUGGCUCUGAACAAACCUGAGUGGCUGCAUAUAUUCUUUGGUGUGAUUGCUGCUGCCUUCUCUGGUGGCGUCCACCCUGCAUUUGCAGUUAUAUAUGGAAAAAUCGUUGGGGCUUUUGAAGAAACAGAUCCUGAAAAAAGGAGCAAAAACACCACGUUGCUUUCUCUAAUGUUUCUUGUCCUGGCAGUGAUCAGCUUAGUAACACACAUCAUCCAGGGAUUCAUGUUUGGAAAGUCUGGGGAAGUUCUGACCAAGAGAUUGCGAUCUUUGUCAUUCAAAGCAUUGCUUCAGCAGGAGAUUGGCUGGUACGACGAUGCUAAAAAUGCCAUAGGGGUUUUGUUAACCAGACUAGCUACAGACGCUUCACAGAUCAAAGGGGCUACCGGAAGCCGACUUGGCUUGUUGACUAAGACUGCCUCUACCCUUCUGUCCGCCAUCAUUAUUGCCUUUGUAUAUGACUGGCGAUUAACUUUGCUUAUCCUGGCCUGCAUUCCUUUCAUUAUUGCUGCAAAUGCUAUUAGACUGAUCUCUGUGGCUGGUCAUGCGUCAAAAGAUCAAAAAGCUUUGGAAGAGGCCGGCAGAAUUUCAGUGGAAGCAGUUGAAAAUAUAAGAACUGUGGCUUCAUUAACUAGUGAAGAUGCAUUCUAUGAGAAAUAUAAUGCAAGUUUGAAUGGUCCAUAUAGGGACUCUCUAACAAAAGCCCCCCUAUAUGGACUUACCUAUGGAACAGUCCAAUGUGCAAUCUACUUUCUUGAGGCAGCAAUCUUCAGAUUUGGGGCAUGGCUCAUUGCUAAUUGUUAUACAAACUUUGAAAAUGUAUUUAUAGCCUUUUUUUCAGUUCUAUAUGGUAUUAUAAAUGUUGGGCUGUCCACUUCUUUGGCACCAGAUUUCAGCAAAGCUAAAGUUUCUGCCCAACAAAUCUUUCAGCUUUUGGAUCGGAAACCCUUAAUUGACAGCUAUAGUGAAGAGGGUACAAAACUGAGUCAGUUUGAUGGCAACAUUGAAUUCAGGGACAUCCAUUUUGUAUACCCUACAAGACCAGAAGCUCAAGUUUUGCAAGGACUCAACGUGAAGGUUAAUAAAGGCCAGACACUAGCCUUGGUGGGGAGCAGUGGUUGUGGCAAAAGCACAUCCAUUCAGCUGCUGGAGAGAUUUUAUGACCCUAUGGCAGGACAAGUGUUUGCAGAUGGAUUCGAUACCAAGUCUUUGCAUUUGCGAUGGUUAAGGUCCAAAUUGGGUAUUGUGUCCCAGGAGCCUAUUUUGUUUGACUGCAGCAUUGCUGAAAAUAUCCAGUACGGAGAGAACGGUAGGGUUGUCAGUCAGGAGGAAGUUGAAGAGGCAGCUAAAGCAGCAAAUAUUCACACCUUCAUAGAAAAUCUCCCAGAGAAGUAUAAUACCCAAGUGGGUGACAAAGGAGCACAACUUUCUGGAGGUCAGAAACAAAGAAUAGCAAUUGCUCGUACUCUAGUUCGUAAGCCAGCAGUUCUGCUUCUAGAUGAAGCCACAUCUGCUCUUGACACAGAAAGCGAAAAGAUUGUCCAGAAAGCCUUGGACGAUGCCAGGAAGGGUCGAACCUGCAUUAUUAUUGCUCACCGCUUGACGACCGUCCAGAACGCUGAUGUCAUAGCAGUGAUUCAUAAUGGAAAAGUAGUGGAACAAGGGACUCACAGCCAGCUGCUGGCAAAGGAAGGACAUUACUAUGCACUUGUAAAUGCACAAGUUUCUCAUUAACAUUAAUGUUACAAACUAAUCUAUUUAUAUAAAUACACACACAACCCACAGAUAAAUAAUAUUAAUGAGGUGCAUCCUUACUGAGAUGUCUGCAGGUUUAAAACACGUAGUAAAAAACAGAGCAGAGACAUUUAUUUCUUCAUUGUCUCACAGCUUUAGAGUUACUUAGUCCUAUUGGUAAAAUCCUUUGGGGCGUGUUGGUUAAUUUUAAACUGCUUUUAUAUUAAUGAUUACAAGCCUUUCAUGGAAAUAUAUAUUGACAAAAUAGAUCACAAACUGUUUGUUUAUAAAGUAUUGUUAAAACCUGUAUUAUUGACCUAACAGAACUUACUGGUUCUUUGGAAACCAUUAAGGCUAUUUCCAAAAGAUUUAAAAAUAAUUAUUAUUGGCCCAAUGACCAUGAUGGCUCCUUUUGGAGCUGAUUAAUGUCAACCAUGUAAACAGCUAUUUAACAAACAACUGUGUGUGUGGGGGGGUAGGGGUUACCAUUGAUAGAUUUAAACAUUUUUUUCAGCUUUUUCAAUGGAGUUUUAGAAAUGUUGAUUGAUCCAUGUAUAGUCAUAGUGGUAUACACAGCUCUGUUAUAAUAUUAUAUUAUCAGAGUGUUUUCCCUUUAAUAUAGUUAACCAUCAUGCUUAAACAACAGUUGAGGAACAUAUCUCAUCUACUUAUUGAGAGAGAGACAGACAGACUCGGGCAGCCCUGUUUUGGGUUUGCUUCUGGCAAACUCACCUUUUGGUUUGCCAAGGACAAAAUCAAAACCACUUUUGGUUUUUGUUUAGUAUUUACACCCUACAGGAGCUUGGAAUAUUUCACACUUUCAGAUGCCUCUGCUUAUUUGUGACAGACAGAAAUUAAAAAUAAUUAUAAUGUCUUUUGCCCCUUUGUUUCCCUGCUUCAGGGUCUAUGACGGGAAACAAAAUAUAAAACGUUUAAGCUUUGCUCUCACCCUCGCCAAAAUACAUCUGGUCAGUUUCUGCUGGCAUCACCAUGACCUAUGCAGGAAAGUGACUUUUCACUUCUGGUUAUAGAGAAAUCACUAGCUGUUCUCACAGUAUUUCUCCAUUAUCCAAACUGGAAUCAAAUGUCUCCCUUUGUCUGGUUUUGUUUUUACACUGGAACCAAUUGUUAAGUCUGUUUACUGUAAAGGUGAAGCGUGUAAUAAAGAAUGUGGAAAAUCAUUCCGAUAUUACACGGAGAGGAUUGCCAAACUUAGUUUAUUUUAAGGCCAUGCAAUGUAUGAACUAUAGAACAUCUGUAGUUAGUUAAUGGGAUCUCAUAGUCACAUCAACACAGAUAAUGUAGAGUAGAGGCCAAAAUGCUUCACUACUCAAGCUGCUUCCAAUUUGAUAACUUUGAUCUUGUUUUAAUAGAGCUGGGCAAAACAUUUGAGGAGACAUGCACAAUUGGACGUUAAAGGUUUAGAAAAGGGCUUUGCGUUGGUCAACUGAGAGUACAUAUGAGCUUCCACAUCCAUUACAUAUGCUGUACAGGAAGAUAAUUGUACGUAUACCUUUCUUGGCAUGUUGCUUAAUGUUGUUCAUCAGUGCAUUCUUCUGUGGCAAUAGCCAGCCAAAUUCAAUCAAGUCUGUACUGCUGGAAAAAUCAUUUUGAAAUAAAAGGCCAGCUGGGGUCAA